rnacentral:rRNA from 1 species
UAGGGAAUCUUCGGCAAUGGACGAAAGUCUGACCGAGCAACGCCGCGUGAGUGAAGAAGGUUUUCGGAUCGUAAAACUCUGUUGUUAGAGAAGAACAAGGACGUUAGUAACUGAACGUCCCCUGACGGUAUCUAACCAGAAAGCCACGGCUAACUACGUGCCAGCAGCCGCGGUAAUACGUAGGUGGCAAGCGUUGUCCGGAUUUAUUGGGCGUAAAGCGAGCGCAGGCGGUUUCUUAAGUCUGAUGUGAAAGCCCCCGGCUCAACCGGAGAGGGUCAUUGGAAACUGGGAGACUUGAGUGCAGAAGAGGAGAGUGGAAUUCCAUGUGUAGCGGUGAAAUGCGUAGAUAUAUGGAGGAACACCAGUGGCGGAGGCGGCUCUCUGGUCUGUAACUGACGCUGAGGCUCGAAAGCGUGGGGAGCAAACAGG